rnacentral:lncRNA from 1 species
UUCGGAGGCAAGUUUGGUGUCCAGAUGGACAGAGUUGAUCAGUCUGCUGUAGGCUUUGAAUACCAGGGGAAGACUGAGAAGCAUGCCUCCCAGAAAGGUAAGACGCGAAAGGUGCAGAAAGAGCCCGCUCCGGGGGCCCCGAUGGGGAGAGUCACAGCCACCUGAAGCCGUUUCCCCGCGCUCCGGGGGCCCUGAUGGGGAGAGUCACAGCCACCUGAAGCCGUUUCCUGAGCGGUGGCUGUUGCCACAAGGAGGACUCUGCCCUCCUCUUCAUGUUUCUGGAUCAUCUGGAUACCACAUGAUGGAUGUAUUCCCCGUUACACAUCCCCCUCGGAGCCCUGGCAUCUGCUGUCAUUGUGGGGCUUCUCCCCCUUGUAGCGGAAGCCGCCUUCCCUUCAUCUGGGCAGCGCUCCUCCUGGAAAAGAGAGCUCACAGAUUGAUCGGCAGAAAGCUAACUUCCCCCCAAGGCUAGAAACCAGAGUUGUUAAAUUCUUGUUUUCCUUAUACACAUACGGUCUUAACUGCUGGUGAUUAAUCUUGAUUACAUCAUGCAGUCUCUUUUUUGAAAGACCAAAGCAUAUCGC